AUGGGUCUUUUUUUGCUAUUUUUAUUUCCGGCCUUUGAUUGCAAGGCAUACAAAUUGAUUUCUAAAAGUGUUUUUAUGCAGCGUGGUUGUCCAACCAAUAACCUCCUUCAUAGCAUGGAGCUUAACAUUUUGAUUUUUGAUUUGGUGAUCUCUAUCAAAUUCUUUUUAUUUUCAAUAUUUCUUUAUCGAUUCUCUAAGAAUAUCUUCUUUGAUUUGGUGUUUACUCCUUGGUGUUGCAGGAUCCGCACGAUUUCUUCUUGUUCUAUUCUCCUCUUGUUUUGA